rnacentral:rRNA from 1 species
GACGAACGCUGGCGGCGUGCUUAACACAUGCAAGUCGAACGGAAAGGCCCUGCUUUUGUGGGGUGCUCGAGUGGCGAACGGGUGAGUAACACGUAAGUAACCUGCCCUUGACUUUGGGAUAACUUCAGGAAACUGGGGCUAAUACCGGAUAGGAGCUCCUGCUGCAUGGUGGGGGUUGGAAGGUUUCGGCGGUUGGGGAUGGACUCGCGGCUUAUCAGCUUGUUGGUGGGGUAGUGGCUUACCAAGGCUUUGACGGGUAGCCGGCCUGAGAGGGUGACCGGCCACAUUGGGACGGAGAUGAGGCCCAGACGCCUACGGGAGGCAGCAGUGGGGAAUAUUGCACAAUGGGCGGAAGCCGGAUGCAGCAACGCCGCGUGCUGGAUGACGGCCGUCGGGUUGUAAACCGCUUUCGCCUGUGACGAAGCGUGAGUGACGGUAAUGGGUAAAGAAGCACCGGCUAACUACGUG